GAUGGGACUGCGGCCUAUCAGGCUGUUGGUGGUGUGACAGACCACCAAACCUACAACGGGUACGGGCGAUGGGAGUCGGAGCCCGGAGAUGGGGACUGAGACAAGGCCCCAGGCCCUACGGGGCGCAGCAGGCGCGAAAACUCCGCAAUGCGCGAAAGCGUGACGGGGGAACCCCAAGUGCCGUUGGUCUUUUGAUCGACGGCUUUUCGAGAGUCUAAGACGCUCUUGGAAUAAGGGCUGGGCAAGUCGGGUGCCAGCCGCCGCGGUAAUACCCGCAGCCCAAGUGGUGGUCACGAUUAUUGGGCCUAAAGCGCUCGUAGCCGGGUCAACAAGUCCCUUGUGAAAUCGGACGGCCUAACCGUUCGGCUUGCAAGGGAUACUGUUGGUCUCGAGGCCGGGAGACGUCUGAGGUACUCCGGGGGUAGCGGUGAAAUGCUGUAAUCCUCGGGGGACCACCAGUGGCGAAGGCGUCAGACGAGAACGGACCUGACGGUGAGGGGCGAAGGCUAGGG
rnacentral:rRNA from 1 species